GACGAACGCUGGCGGCGUGCUUAACACAUGCAAGUCGAGCGGAGCGGCGAACGGGUGAGUAACGCGUGAGUAACUGCCCCCCUCUCUGGGAUAACAGUUGGAAACGGCUGCUAAUACCGGAUAGUGGGGGAUGAUUCGCGUCCUAUCAGCUUGUUGGUGGGGUAGUGGCCUACCAAGGCGCCGACGGGUAGCCGGCCUGGGAGGGCGACCGGCCACCUGGGUCUACGGUACGUACCAAAAGCCAACGGGAGGCAGCAGGGGGAAAUAUUGCACAAUGGGGGAACCCCUGAUACAGCAACGCCGCGUGCGGAAUGCCGGCCUUCUGGUUGUGAACCGCUUUCAUCCAUGCCGCGGUAGUGGCAGAAGAAGCACCGGCUAACUACGUGCCAGCAGCCGCGGUAAUAC
rnacentral:rRNA from 1 species